UUAUUUAGUAUAGCUAUGUACAAAGAUUUCUACAUUGUAUAUACCCAUACAGACCUGGGCUAUUGGAUGCUAUAAUUAUACAGAUACAAAGAAUGUAUAUAGCUGCAUGCAGGCAUUCUUGUGUAAGAAGUGGACAUUAUAUAUAAGAGAGGUUCCACUGUUACAGUAGCACAUGCAUGUAUAUUUAUGUGUAUAUAUAUACUCUGUGCAUGGGAACAUUUCUGAGUGGUUUAAUUUUUUGUUAUUUUCGCUCCCGAGAAGCUGUCACACUAAAUUUAGACCCACGAAAAAUUGGACACCCUGGGCCCGAUCCAUGCACUUAUGGCAAUGCAAAAAAAUGGUGUCCAUUUCUCUGUAUAUAUAUAUAUAGCGGGGAGACUUUGUGUGGAUAGGACUCACCAAAGUUGAUUCUUUCUAGCAAGCCGAUUCAAUAUAGCUUAAACUGGACCCAUCAUGGCUCUCAUGAAAAGGCAAGGAUGAUAGUUUAGCUAGGGAGAGGGAGUGAGAUAUAGAACCAUUUCACGGCAGGAGAAGUCCACUUUUGGCAGCACAAAAAAAUGGCCAGGAGAUUCAUUUUUGCCCAUGCAAGUCCAAAUUUCGCGUGACAUGCAGAGCCCUAAAACGAAUAUUUAAUUCGCGAAAAGUUGAUAAUGAUAUUCGAAAAGUGGCUUCAGACACUUAUCAACAUGUGACUUGUGCUACAUAUACAAAUUUGACAACGAAGUGUAGCUAUUGUCUUUUGCAUGCACCUGGGCUCUAGACAAUAAAUUUAACAAAAACAUAUUAUUUAAGAGCAUUAAACAAAAACAUACAAGAACAUAAUUAUAUAAUUAUCUGUAGCUGCCUGCAUGCCUAUAAUUAUGCUGUGUCAAUGCAGUGAGUGCUUUUUAAAAAAAUGUGUACAACCGUGCACAAUAUAAUACUAAGUUGAGUUGCUCUCCAGUAAACUUUAUCACUUAACAAGUGCAACAAUCAAAGAGAGUAUAUUUUUUUUGAGUACACAUUUUUUACAUUUUGUAGCAUAUCUUCUAAAGUAAAAGUGAUAUGAUCUAUUUGAGUGCAGGUACUGAAAGUUUAACUAUUGGCGCUUCCAUUGGACCACCACCUGUUACAUGAUAUGACAUCAUCAAUAUAAAAUGGCUGUCUGAAGAUGUGUACUUCUGAAAAUAUGUUAGGAAUAGAAGUAGCUUACUUGUUUGAGUUAAGAUCUGAAAUAUGUUGUGCAUGUACCUGAGUAUUAUUGUUCAACUUUUAAGCUUCAACGGAAGUCUGGGCUAGGCUACUAGUAAGUUCUGAGAAAUACUGCAUUUUGUUUUUUUUAGUGGCAAAUAUGUUAGGAAUACAACUUUCGAUUUUAUAUUAUUGGGGCGAGCGAAGCGAGUCCCUUAGUUAGUCAUGCACGUGGUCCGGGUGGUGUGUGUAUGUAUGUAUGUAUGUCUACCGUGGACCGGCAGGCCGGCAUGGACCGGCAUACGAUAUUUGCUUUUGUGACUCGUGAUCCUUUACCAAUUUCUACGUGAGUCAAUAACUUUAGCUCGAUAAAGAUUAGCCUCGACCCCAGGCCAAUCCGUCUCCAAUUGAACGCUAGGUCGCCUACGUAUUUUUCAACUUCGUUCUAUUAAAAAAAAGUCAGCCUGGGACCGAGGCUAGAUAAAGAUAUGAAUAGUGACAAAACUAGCGAUAAGGCCUAAGGAGGAUCCUCAGAAACAGCUAAAAAGAGGGAAAGGAGGCUUGCUAGACCCAGAGAAAGAUACAGGGCACACAGAAGCAGCAGGAAGUGAAGGUAACUGACUCAAACGGUUCUGCAGGUGUUUUCCUAAAAUAUAUAAAUGUUGUGUAGAAAGUGCACAAGCCAGCAGAAAGUGGCCAAAUGUUCAUGUAGAAGAGGGAUUGGAAACGGAAGUACGCUCGAAGUACCAUCCGUGUAUCUCCGCGGUUUUAAUCGAGGCUUACUUUUUAACACGAGGGCUAAACAUGAAUAAUUCAUAAGAAUUGUUUUUCUCUCUGUAAGAAGUCCACGAGCAGUUCUGCUGCUAAACAUCAACUUUCUCUAAUACUUGAGGCCAUUUAGGACACAGGACACUAUUUAGUUACAAAGCCUUAGCUAUAUCAAAGGUACUAUAGGAACACAAGCAUGAAAAAGCGCUCUGUGUACCUCUAGCUACUUCACGACAAUCGAGAUUAUAUUUUCUUUGUUUCCAAUUGAUACCUACUAUCAGGGGGCAUGUGAUUCAGUAAUGGGGGUAGCUCUGAGAUGUAUGCUUUAGACACAAUAAGUUUCCCGGGAUUUUGCGGGAGUUAUGAGGAGAUACGGUGUCAUAAAAUUUUAGGCCCCCCAUGAGAUUGGGCCCCCCGGGCCUAGAAUUUUAACAUUUUAGGCCCCCCCAUUAACAGCACAACAGCGGUAACAUUGUGUGACAGUGCAUUCUCAAAAUACACCAAUACAGUCUUCUAUGGUCUUCACAGUCUAUGCAGUGCCAGUUAUACUGAAUGCAGCUCUCCUCACACACACACAUUUCAUGCAUGUACAGUAGUAUACCACUGAUCUCACAGCCAUCACACUGCACCAUGUCAUUUUAUGAAUCAGGCCUCAUGCAGCACGAAGCACAUAGGUGCCAACUGUCCCGAAUUGGUCAGGACUGCCCAAGAUUACCCUUGUCCCGAAAGGAAACUGCUAUUGUGAUUCCACCAUGAUACAACAGUUUCUCUCUUGACUUCUAUCUAUGAUUCCACAGUACUUGAGAGCUGAGCCAGUGAUGCUAUUGGAGCAUCCCCACAACAAUUUACAUCUUCUAUGUAUAAGAAAACAUGGAGGAAGAUAUGAAUUGUUGUCUUUGCACUGAAAUUGUAUGCUUUAUACUUUUUUGUCCUGAAAUUUGGCUGAGAAAGUAAGCAUGAAGUUGCAAAUAUGGGGAUAGCUAUGCAACAACAUCGAUUGUCUUACAGGCAGAUCCAACAUUGCAGAGCUGCAUCAAAGCAUUUAACUUUUAUAGGUAAAGCAUGAGUAACUUAAAAGGUAAAUCUUCCUGAAUUCCAUGAUAGAAUAAUAAUGCAAAUAUUUUUGCUACUUUGAUACAGAGUCUUUGCAUGCAUGCAGUCUCUUUGAUGCUUUGUCAACUAAUAGAGCUAACCUUACCAUAUUAUUAUAUCUCUUUGACUUCGUUCUAUCGUGCAGAAAAGGAUAGCAGAAGAGGAGGGCCUAAUCUCACAGUGGGGGGCCUAGAAUGUUAACAGUUUGGACCCCCUGGGGGGCCUAAACGGUUAACAUUCUAGGCCCGGUGGGCCCAAAAUUUUAAAAUUCUAGGCCCGGAGGGGGCCUAAACAUGGGGGGGCCCAAAAUUUUAUGACAACGGGUCCCAGAGCCACUACGUAGACUUCAUUGUAAAACAUCACGUGAAUCACUUCCAUUUCCAAUCCCUCUUCUACUCUAUCUAUGAUUACACUUACAGAGACUCCAGAAGCCACAUAGGCACGCUUGAAGCAAUGCAGGCAUAGACAUGCCUCUAUUCAAACAAUCUACUGUUCAAUCCAAGAUGCUGUUUAUAUCUGCAGUCAUGCCAAUAAUGUCCAUCUAUCGAUUACCACUUGGACAAUAUGAAUACGCAGGCCAUGUCAUCAACCUGCCACAAGAUUGCAGAAGCAGCUGGUCACUCUAGGGAUUGACAAGAUACCACAUGAGCAGUUGCAGUAAGUGCAUGUCAUUGAAAUUUAGCACAGAACCUCUAAAAUUCUUGCCAGUGAGAAUUAUACAGCCUCAAUUCCUGUUAUACAUAAUUAUGGACAUAAUUAUGACAAGUGCAAAUGAUUUAAUUGAUUCUUAAGGAGAAGAUAGGUAGCGGACAGUUCGGAACAGUGUACAGGGCUGUGUGGGAGUUCUCAAUAAGUGAGGAUAAAACGAAGUCCAGGCCAUCUCCACCCAAGUUGCUGUCAAGGUAAUGGACCAGAAGUCAGCUGAGGACAAGAUCAAGUUCCUGCAAGAAGCUGUGUGACCCCAAUAUUGUGACUGUGUUUGGAGUGGUGACAUGCAGGACCUGAUAAGCUAAUGAUGGUUAGUGAGUUAAUGGAUGAAGACUUAAGAAGCCACCUCAGCGACAUCAGAGCAAAGAUUCAGAGCAACGAAAACACAGAGGAAGAAAUGACUGAGUUACCUGCUCUCCUGCUCAGCUACUGUAGGAAGAUUGCCAGCAGCUUUGUGUACUUGGGGCUCAAGGGGUUUGUUUAUCGUGACCUGGCAGCCAGAAACAUACUCGUCUCCAAGGAAGGGGAGUGCAAGACUGCUGAUUUCGGUAUUCCAUGUGAUCUACGAAAACUGCAUCUACACGUUAUAUGGAGGAUUGGCCCCUGUCAAAUGGGCAGCCCCUGAGGCUAUCAAGUUCAUGAGGUACUCAGUGAAUAGUGACAUCUGGAACUAUGGGAUGCUGCUCUAUGAGAUUUGGUCACUAGGAUACACACCCUAUUACAACCUCAGCAACACUGCAUGUCAUUGAAAAAGUACAUGCUGGUUACCGCCUCCCACCACCACCUGGAUGUCGCAGAUCUAUCUAUGACCUCUUCAUCAAAUGCACGCACCCCCAACCCGAGUCAAGGCCAACAUUCACCAAUAUAUUGACCAGCCUGCAGAGACCCGACUACCAGCUGCUAAAAUGGAGGGCAGAGGACGUGGUUGCCAGCAGUGAGGCGGCUAGAACGCUGGGAGAUCCAUUAAAGGAGGGGGAGAGGCUGUACACAGAACUACAAAAGACCUAUGUGGAAACUUACUGCUGAGAGUAGAGUGUAGUGUAGAUCUUUAACAAUGCUUUGAGGUCUAAUUUAAUAAUUGUGUUCAUGUGAUGUUCUCAU